rnacentral:rRNA from 1 species
AUUGAACGCUGGCGGCAGGCCUAACACAUGCAAGUCGAACGAGUGGCGGACGGGUGAGUAAUGUCUGGGAAACUGCCCGAUGGAGGGGGAUAAAUACUGGACACGGUAGCUAAUACCACAUACCAUCGGAUGUGCCCAGAGGGGCAUAGCUAGUAGGUGGGGUAACGGCUAACCUAGGCGACGAUCCAUAGCUGGUCUGAGAGGAUGACCAGCCACACCGGACUUGAUAAACGGUCCAGACUCCUACGGUAGGCAGCAGGGGGGAAUAUUGCACAAUUGGCGCAAGCCGGAUGCAGCCAUGCCGCGUGUAUGAAGAAGGCCUUCGGGUUGUAAAGGACUUUCAGCGAGGAGGCGUUACUCGCAGAAGAAGCACCGGCUAACUCCGUGCCAGCCGCCGCGGUAAUAC